CCUUCAAAGCUUGUAUGUCCCCUGGUGAUAGCCGGAGAACUGCCCAAUCUCUCUCCUCCAUGCAACUGGCGAGCAAACCAACAAAACCACUACACUCACCAAAACCAUCGUUUUCUCUUUUGAAAUCUCUUUCAGGGAAAAAAAAAGAAAAAAGAAAUCUCUUUCUUUCUCCUCUAAAACCUCACCUGCAAUGGCUUUCUUCUCAUUUGGGCUAUACCAUCUCCAACCAACCAAUUUAAGAAACAAUCCGUCCGCUUUCCUUCUUCCCUUAAUCUGUCUUCACUUCAUUCUCAGUUUUGUUUGGCUUUAUCUCCACUUAGAUUAGGUUCAAGAUUGCUUGGCAGUGGUCUUCUUGCAAGAGCUGAAGAUAAACAAAAUAGGGUUUGAGGAUCUGAGUAAGGUUACGUGUUAAGUGGGCGUUUUUUUUGGUAAAUUCAAAGAUGUUUUGGCGUGGCGUCGCCGGUGGAGACAAUUUUGGACAAGGACAACUUUACACUCGAGGAGCUGCUUGAUGAGGAUGAAAUUAUUCAAGAAUGCAAAGCUCUAAAUGGACGUCUUAUCAAUUGCCCAGGAAUAAGGACGGAUCCAAAAGAAGACCACAAGUCCAAAGCCUGUCAGACCAUAUGCUCGAAAGACGGCCCGAUUUCACAAGCCCAGAACAGCAACGCAGGGCAAUUCGGAUCAGAUACGAGCACAGGCCCAAUAGGGAAGCAGGCCCAGUCACUCACCAACCCUGUUCGCACGCGUGACAGGGAGAAUUAAAUGGCCGCUUGGCGUGGAGAAGGGGUCUGACACCUCCGUACGUACGGGCGUGAGUGACAUGGACAGGUAGCACUAUAGACUAGGGGUCUUCUCUCUUUUUAGGGCUCUCUCUUCUGGAGGCUCAGGGGGCUUCUUCUUCCUUCUCCUUCCUGGACUCCAUUUUUAUUUUCUCUCUGCAACUCUUGCCUAAAUAUACUACUUUAAUUCAUGAAAUUUGACUUGAACAUCGGAGGGUCUCCACCGGGGAAUCCCCGGUAGACCCCUGACCGUUUUUCCUUGUUUUGCAAGUCCUUUCAUCAGAUAGAACAUUGAGAGACCCAUUUGAUGGACCCAUAUGAUGGACCAAGAAGGAAGCCAGAUCUAUCAUGGACUAGGAGGAGAAAAAGAUUUAUCAAAUGGCGCCGUCUGUGGGAAACGAAGGAGAUCUUUUCAUCACCGGAGUUCCUAAAUCCACCCAUUGAGAUCCACAUGAAGGUAUGAAAGCUUAUGCGAAAAGAAAGCUGGAGAUUUACAAUAACCCAGCUGAAUAACCUAGCUGAAAAGAAAGAUCCAGCUGGUUCACGAAUA